GACGAACGCUGGCGGCGUGCUUAACACAUGCAAGUCGAACGGAAAGGCCCUGCUUUUGUGGGGUGCUCGAGUGGCGAACGGGUGAGUAACACGUGAGUAACCUGCCCUUGACUUUGGGAUAACUUCAGGAAACUGGGGCUAAUACCGGAUAGGAGCUCCUGCUGCAUGGUGGGGGUUGGAAAGUUUCGGCGGUGGGGGAUGGACUCGCGGCUUAUCAGCUUGUUGGUGGGGUAGUGGCUUACCAAGGCUUUGACGGGUAGCCGGCCUGAGAGGGUGACCGGCCACAUUGGGACUGAGAUACGGCCCAGACUCCUACGGGAGGCAGCAGUGGGGAAUAUUGCACAGUGGGCGGAAGCCUGAUGCAGCAACGCCGCGUGCGGGAUGACGGCCUUCGGGUUGUAAACCGCUUUCGCCUGUGACGAAGCGUGAGUGACGGUAAUGGGUAAAGAAGCACCGGCUAACUACGUG
rnacentral:rRNA from 1 species